AGAGCUGGGCUUCUCCACCCGGACCUCACCAAGACUUUGUCUGACCCUGAGCUGCGGACAGAGCGCGUUUGUCCCGGGGUCUCUGGGCCGCCCAAGGCCACCUGCUCCUCGGGUCAGGAUGAAACCUAAGAGCAUGACGUUUGCGGGUGAAACACAGGCAGCAUUAAAAUGAACGUUCACGAAAACAGACUCUGUCACAGUCCUGUUAUGUGUGGCUGGGGUUUGGAGACAUCAAUCACAAUCCACAGAAACGAAAAAAGUCAAAAUUAGAUUUGUCUCCACACUACUGAACAGUGAUGAAACCUAGAAUCCCCAGUGUGUACCUCUGCCAUGAGAAUCACCCUCCGUCCAGUGUCCACACUGCACAGGCUGAGGAACCCAGGAGCCACGGUUACCAGAUCUUUGUCCCAGUGGGGAAGGGGUUCCACUGUGCUGAGACGAUGACCCAGGUCCACACAGACAAUCUGAGGACUAUGGAGUGAAGAUCCGUGUAAAACACAACCACCUGGAACCACAGACGGUCAUCUGGGAAGAAACACUAGGAGUCUGAGUGUAAGCACAAGGCUGUGAAGACUGGAUCCUGAGUGAUGAGCAAAGUUUCUAUUUACAGGGGAGAUUCCCGAGCACCAGGCUUGGCAGUGUGAGCGCCCCCUGCAGGUGGACACAGGAUCCUGGUGUCUGUGGGAGUCUGUGUGGUGCUUGCAGGCCAGGGCCUCUGCUUUAGAGAGAAAUCAUCUCUCCCUUGUAUCCCGACCCUAGUGUUGUUGCUAUUGUGUUCCUGGAAUCGACUUUUCUUCUGGAAGUUCCAGGUUUGACAUCUGGUGAGAAGGAAGAGGAAGGGUGAGGAGAGGACAAAUUGUUUUGGGCUUUGAGUCUCUCCUGGUGUUUUUGUUUUGUUUUUCAGGCAUGGUCUGCCGCACCACUGUGGCUGUCCUGAAACUUACUGUGUAGACCAGACAGACUUGCCUUGACCUCACAGAGAUACACCUGUCUUUUAAUCCCAUGACCUGGGAUUAAAGGUUUGUGUCACCACACCUGUCUUUAGUUAUUUCUAUGGCUGUGAUAAGACACCAUGACCCCCACAAACUUUAAAAGGAACAUGUUUCACUUGGUCUUAAGUUUCCAGAGGGUUUGAGUCCAUGGUGGCAGAGGAAAGGAAUGGUGGCUGGAGCAGCUGAGAGCUCACAUCUUGAUCUGCAAGCUUCAGAGACACUGGGAAUGGUGGGAGUCUAUUAAAACCUCAAUGCCCAGCCCCAGUGACACACCUCCUCCAACAAGGCCACACCUCCUGAUCCUCCCCACACAGUUCCAUCACCUGGAGCUGAAGUGUCUGAACCUGUGAGCCUGUGUGUCCAUUCUCAUUCAAACAUCCCAGCAUGCAGUGUGAGUGUGAGAUGCCCUGCAGGGUUCUGCAGAUGUGUACAUGUGAUCUCUAGACAAACACCCUCAACCAGGAGGACUCCACUGUGUUAGGAUCCCCCCUUUCUUCUGCCACCUCCUGCUCAGCCCUUCUCUGUCCCUCAGGCCUCACCCCAUCAGUGCCCAGCACCCCUCACUCGAGCUCUGCACUAAUCCUGCCUCUUCCUUUGCCUCCAGUUUCUGUGGUCAGCCAUCUUGUCAGCUGUCUUGCUCUGAGUCAGGCUGUGCUGUUUCCUUCUGUUAAAUUCCUACAGGGACUGGACAGAUGGCUCACAGGUGAUAAGCACCUGUUCUGUCCCAGAGAAUUCGUGUUCAGUUCCUAUCAACAACAUGGUGCUUUACAGCCAUCUGGGACUGCAGUUCCGGGUGAUCCAGUGCCUGGUGUACCUGCAUACCUACAUAUAUACACACAUGUAUGCAUAAUCUAAUAAAAUACAUACAUCUAAUAAAAAUAAAAUUAAAAACA